GCCAUUUUGAAUGGCAUAGCAGCUUGCCUGCAGUCUGCCAGUUCCACGCUCUCCAUCUAACACACUGGUGGUGGCACUGCCAAGGUGUAUUAGCACCUUGUUCAGAUCAGACACACCUUGCUCAUCUCUUUUGGCCUUUCCAAGGCAUCCAGAUCUCCCGAGGCAAGAAGAUUGACAAAAUUGUCAGACAUGGGCCUGCCUCUCAAAAUGGCCUCUCUGCGGGUGUAUGUGCUAUCGCUGUGAAACCACAGGGUGGCGACAGAUGGUAAGGAAUUGGUUUUCUCCGUCCGCUACAGCGACCAUCGUCUCGCAGGGCUGUAUGGCUUUCCCAAUAACCUACAAUAGUCCCAAAAGAUUAAAGAAAUCCUGUGUCAUGUGUAGGUUAAACGUUUUCACCACGAUUGGUUAACUGAAAUAUGAUAAAUAAUUGUUUGAGUUACAUUUGCUGCUAUUGGGUUUUGAUGUGUUAAUCCUGUUUGCAUUCAAAUAAUUUCUGUGUUGCCAUUAAACGAUAUCGUGUA